ACGUAGGUGGCGAGCGUUGUCCGGAAUUACUGGGCGUAAAGGAUGCGUAGGUGGAAAUUUAAGUCAGAUGUGAAAUACCCGAGCUUAACUUGGGCACUGCAUUUGAAACUGAAUUUCUUGAGUGCAGGAGAGGAAAGCGGAAUUCCUAGUGUAGCGGUGAAAUGCGUAGAGAUUAGGAAGAACACCGGUGGCGAAGGCGGCUUUCUGGACUGUAACUGACACUGAGGCAUGAAAGCGUGGGGAGCAAACAG
rnacentral:rRNA from 1 species